CUUCGGAUGGUGGACAGUGGCGCACGGGUGAGUAACACGUGGGGACCUGCCUGAUAGUAAGGAAAAACAGUUGGAAACGACUGCUAAUACCUUAUACGCCCUUCGGGGGAAAGAUUUAUCGCUAUCAGAUGGACCCGCGCUAGAUUAGAUAGUUGGUGAGGUAAUGGCUCACCAAGUCUGCGAUCUAUAGCUGGUUUGAGAAGAUGAUCAGCCACAUUGGGACUGAGACACGGCCCAGACUCCUACGGGAGGCAGCAGUGGGGAAUAUUGUACAAUGGGGGCAACCCUGAUACAGCAAUGCCGCGUGAGUGAAGAAGGCCUUAGGGUUGUAAAACUCUUUCGCUAGGGAAGAUAAUGACGGUACCUAGUAAAGAAGUCCCGGCUAACUCCGUGCCAGCAGCCGCGGUAAUACGGAGGGGACUAGCGUUGUUCGGAAUUACUGGGCGUAAAGAGUUCGUAGGCGGAUAAGCAAGUAAGAGGUGAAAGCCCAGGG
rnacentral:rRNA from 1 species